GGGGAUUUAGCUCAGUGGUAGAGCACUUGCCUUGCAUGCACAAGGCCCUGGGUUCGGUCCCCAGCUCCA
rnacentral:tRNA from 1 species